rnacentral:rRNA from 1 species
AGUGAACGCUGGCGGUAGGCCUAACACAUGCAAGUCGAACGGCAGCACAGUAAGAGCUUGCUCUUACGGGUGGCGAGUGGCGGACGGGUGAGGAAUACAUCGGAAUCUACUUUUUCGUGGGGGAUAACGGAGGGAAACUUACGCUAAUACCGCAUACGACCUACGGGUGAAAGCAGGGGAUCUUCAGACCUUUCGCGAUUGAAUGAGACGAGGUCGGAUUAGCUAGUUGGCGGGGUAAAGGCCCACCAAGGCGACGAUCCGUAGCUGGUCUGAGAGGAUGAUCAGCCACACUGGAACUGAGACACGGUCCAGACUCCUACGGGAGGCAGCAGUGGGGAAUAUUGGACAAAGGGCGAAAGCCUGAUCCAGCCAUACCGCGUGGGUGAAGAAGGCCUUCGGGUUGUAAAGCCCUUUUGUUGGGAAAGAAAAGCAGCAGGUUAAUACCCCGCUGUUCUGACGGUACCCAAAGAAUAAGCACCGGCUAACUUCGUG